CCCGGGUCUUGUACACACCGCCCGUCACACCAUGGGAGCGGGAUGUACCAGAAGUAGGUAGGCUAACCGCAAGGGGCCGCUUACCACGGUGCGUUUCGUGACUGGGGUGAAGUCGUAACAAGGUACCC
rnacentral:rRNA from 1 species